AGUAAAUAGAUACCCGGGUAGUCCCAGCCGUAAACGAUGCUCGCUAGGUGUCAGGCAUGGCGCGACCGUGUCUGGUGCCGCAGGGAAGCCGUGAAGCGAGCCACCUGGGAAGUACGGCCGCAAGGCUGAAACUUAAAGGAAUUGGCGGGGAGCACAACAACGGGUGGAGCCUGCGGUUUAAUUGGACUCAACGCCGGACAACUCACCGGGGGCGACAGCAAUAUGUAGGCCAAGCUGAAGACUUUGCCUGAAUCGCUGAGAGGAGGUGCAUGGCCGUCGCCAGUUCGUACUGUGAAGCAUCCUGUUAAGUCAGGCAACGAGCGAGACCCGUGCCCACUGUUACCAGCAUAUUCUCCGGAAUGAUGGGUACUCUGUGGGGACCGCCUAUGUUAAACUAGGAGGAAGGUGCGGGCCACGGUAGGUCAGUAUGCCCCGAAUCUCCCGGGCUACACGCGGGCUACAAUGGAUGGGACAAUGGGUCCCUACUCCGAAACGGAGCUGGUAAUCUCACAAACCC
rnacentral:rRNA from 1 species